UACGAAGGGUGCAACCGUUGCUCGGAAUCAUUGGGCGUAAAGCGCACGUAGGCGGCUUUGCAAGUCGGACGUGAAAUCCCUCAGCUCAACUGAGGACGUGCAUCCGAAACUGCAAGGCUUGAGUACUGAAGAGGAUCGCGGAAUUCCCGGUGUAGAGGUGAAAUUCGUAGAUAUCGGGAGGAACACCAGUGGCGAAGGCGGCGAUCUGGGCAGAUACUGACGCUGAGGUGCGAAAGCGUGGGGAGCAAACAGG
rnacentral:rRNA from 1 species